rnacentral:rRNA from 1 species
UACGGAGGAGGCAAGCGUUAUCCGGAAUUAUUGGGCGUAAAGCGUCUGUGGGUGGCUAGUCAAGUCUGCGGUCAAAGACCGGGGCUUAACUUCGGAAAGGCAGUGGAAACUGAACAGCUAGAGUAUGGUAGGGGCAGAGGGAAUUCCUGGUGUAGCGGUGAAAUGCGUAGAUAUCAGGAAGAACAUCGGUGGCGAAGGCGCUCUGCUGGACCAUAACUGACACUCAGGGACGAAAGCUAGGGGAGCGAAUGGG